GGCCCUAAGCACGAAAGGGAUCGUGCAAAUGCCCGGAUACUCACUACUCACAGUCCGUCCCGGGCCCUUGUUAAGAAUUGUGUCGCCUACGUGAUUUGUAUGGAUUGUCACUUUUUCAUCAACAAAUGUCUUUAAAAACUGUGGGUGCAUGUGCUUUUAAUUAUAAUAUUGACUGCGUGUUUUACAAAACGACAGCAUACUCUGCACGUGAUAUCAGCGGGGGUGCGACGAGAGACGUGCAGGGUGCCGUGGCGCACCCUGCAAGGGGUUCGCCACCCUUCGAUCGAUCCAGCCGCGUCCCUACUGCCCCAGCGAACCGCAGAUCGGGAUCACGAGAUGAUUUUGUAGAUGCUACAUUAAAAUUAUUUGACUGUGAUAUUAUGCGACUCGGAUAUAAAAAAGAAAAUGUUAUAAAUAAAUUCUUGGUUUAUUUAACUA